GUCUUCAAAUGUUACUAUGAUGAUUUCGACAAGGACAUUGCAGAGGAUCUCGGUGAGGAAUCAGGUUUGAAGGACACAAUUUAUUGCUUGUGUGCUCCUCCAGUGUAUUUCAGUAAGAUUUUAGAUUCAGCAAUGAAAGCUAAUGCAAGCAAGAAUGAAAAAGAAGCCCUAACUCGAGUUAUUGUAACCCGAACUGAUGUUGAUAUGAAGGACAUUGCUGAGGAAUAUAAUAAGCAAUAUGGAACUCCUCUAGCCAAGAAGAUUGAAGAUGUAGCUCUUGGAAAUUAUAAAGAUUUCUUAGUCACGUUGGUCCAAAGAGCUCUAGCUAAAGGAAGUGAAUAAAAAUGCCUCUCUUAAUGAACUUGUUCUUUUUCUUUGAAUCAAACUCUACUUAUGCUUUAUUUUCCUAUGUUUGCAAGAGCAAUGUGUAAUAAUAAAAAGUGUGGUGUUCCU